GGCGGACGGGUGAGUAACACGUGGGUAACCUGCCUGUAAGACUGGGAUAACUCCGGGAAACCGGGGCUAAUACCGGAUGGUUGUUUGAACCGCAUGGUUCAAACAUAAAAGGUGGCUUCGGCUACCACUUACAGAUGGACCCGCGGCGCAUUAGCUAGUUGGUGAGGUAACGGCUCACCAAGGCAACGAUGCGUAGCCGACCUGAGAGGGUGAUCGGCCACACUGGGACUGAGACACGGCCCAGACUCCUACGGGAGGCAGCAGUAGGGAAUCUUCCGCAAUGGACGAAAGUCUGACGGAGCAACGCCGCGUGAGUGAUGAAGGUUUUCGGAUCGUAAAGCUCUGUUGUUAGGGAAGAACAAGUACCGUUCGAAUAGGGCGGUACCUUGACGGUACCUAACCAGAAAGCCACGGCUAACUACGUGCCAGCAGCCGCGGUAAUACGUAGGUGGCAAGCGUUGUCCGGAAUUAUUGGGCGUAAAGGGCUCGCAGGCGGUUUCUUAAGUCUGA
rnacentral:rRNA from 1 species